GGGCCUUUAGCUCAGCUGGCAGAGCAGGAGACUUUUAAUCUCAAGGUCGUGGGUUCGAACCCCACAGGGCCCACCA
rnacentral:tRNA from 2 species